rnacentral:rRNA from 1 species
UAGGGAAUCUUCGGCAAUGGACGAAAGUCUGACCGAGCAACGCCGCGUGAGUGAAGAAGGUUUUCGGAUCGUAAAACUCUGUUGUUAGAGAAGAACAAGGACGUUAGUAACUGAACGUCCCCUGACGGUAUCUAACCAGAAAGCCACGGCUAACUACGUGCCAGCAGCCGCGGUAAUACGUAGGUGGCAAGCGUUGUCCGGAUUUAUUGGGCGUAAUGCGAGCGCAGGCGGUUUAUUAAUUCUGAUGUGAAAGCCCCCGGCUCAACCGGGGAGGAUCAUUGGAAACUGGUGUACUUGAGUGCAGAAGAGGAGAGUGGAAUUCCAUGUGUAGCGGUGAAAUGCGUAGAUAUAUGGAGGAACACCAGUGGCGAAGGCGGCUCUCUGGUCUGUAACUGACGCUGAGGCUCGAAAGCGUGGGGAGCAAACAGG